AUUGAACGCUGGCGGCAGGCCUAACACAUGCAAGUCGAGCGAGCGGCGGACGGGUGAGUAAUGUCUGGGAAACUGCCUGAUGGAGGGGGAUAACUACUGGAAACGGUAGCUAAUACCGCAUACCAUCAGAUGUGCCCAGAUGGGAUUAGCUGGUCGGUGGGUUAACGCCUCACCUAGGCGACGAUCCCUAGCUGGUCUGAGAGGAUGACCAGCCACACGAGAACUGAGACACGGUCCAGACGACUACGGAAGGCAGCAGUGGGGAAUAUUGCACGAUGGACGCAAGCCUGAUGCAGCCAUGCCGCGUGUGUGAAGAAGGCCAUCGGGUUGGAAAGCACUGUCAGCGGGGAGGCGUUACGCGCAGAAGAAGCACCGGCUAACUCCGUGCCAGCCGCCGCGGUAAUAC
rnacentral:rRNA from 1 species